UGAGCUGUAAAUUCUAAUCCUGUAGUCCAUACUCCAAUGGUCCUAAAAUUGCCCGGCAACUAUUCGACCAAAUUCCGCUACAUAUCUCCACAACUUCUCACCACCAGUUGCCCCCUCACCAUCACCACCCUCUCUGUUGCUCCUGCGCCAGUCCCUCACAUUCAAAGCUCGCUCGUUUCUCUUGCGGGACUUUGAAGGAGCUCUCAAUAUCAUAUUAUUUUGGACAUAGGUGAAUUCACACUCUUGCUCACACUUUCUCUGCAGAUUUGUAACCUAGGUCAUAACCACACAUAGGGGAAGGGGCAUGUAGCAAGAAAUGGACAUCCUUCUUCUUUUGCAUUGAUUUAAGCAUACUGUUUUGUGACCUCAAAUGAUAAAAAAAGUGUGGGAAUGUAAAAACGAAUCAAUUUGGUAACGCCUGACAUCAUUUUAGUGGAUUGCAAUGGUUAACAAGAUUGCUGUAGCUCUUGAGUAUCUCUUAUAAACACCAAUAGCAAGAAAUGCAUUCUGAUUGACACCCAGGAUAUUGGAAUCCCUAUGACACAUGCUAUGAGUUUUAGCUCUGGCCUUCUUGAAUUUCACUUCACUUAUGGAACUAAGAUUUCACAGUCAUGGGGAAAACGUGGAAUGCUUGUUCCGAGAUCUGGUCCUCGAAUUCUUAGUGUUCGAGCUGUGCAAGAGAAUAAUGGGCCGCGAAGGCUAGUUGACAUUAUCCGGAUUGUGCCUGAGCUCUCACGGAACUACUUCAGAAGCCCUUCUCGAAGAGCACUUUUUGGUGGAAUUUCCUUAUUGGGUGGCUUUUAUGUGGCUCAAACAAUUUCUCUGUCAUUUGGAACUUUAGGGGUGAACGACGUAAUUGCUGCAGUGUUGUGUGUUCUUCUCACCGAGUAUGUGACUAAAUUUUAUUACAGCCGACCAAAAGUGACCUUCCCCAUUGCUCUGCUCAACAAUUUCAAGAUGGGUUUCACUUAUGGUCUAUUUAUUGAUGCUUUCAAACUUGCUAGCUGAAUUAAGAAUGCCUUGAAGCACUCAUUUGAAUGAGUUGCCUUCUUGAUUAACAAGUUAUGAACUUGUCAUGGUUGGUCUUGACGAUUUCAGAACAUCGUCUGUUCCACUUUUAUCACUGUAUUUUUAGGCACACAUCCAAUCAAAGCCCUUGUAUAUUCCUUCUAAUUUGUCGAAUCAUCUGCUGUGCAGUUUUCUUUAUUGGUCUGGCAGGCUUGUUUUUUGGCACCUUGGCUUGUGAUAUUAUAGGCAUGUAAGAGUUCUAUCGUAUUCAGAUUUGUAUGACCAGUUCUGCUUGGUAUGUUCUUAAUAUUUACCCUUGUGAAGUAAAAAAUGUUUUGGGUGUAA